rnacentral:rRNA from 1 species
CUGAUGCAGCCAUGCCGCGUGUGUGAAGAAGGCCUUCGGGUUGUAAAGCACUUUCAGUUUGCGAUGGAAAAGUUAGUAGUUAAUACCUGCUAGCCGUGACGUCAACAACAGAAGAAGCACCGGCUAACUCCGUGCCAGCAGCCGCGGUAAUACGGAGGGUGCGAGCGUUAAUCGGAAUUACUGGGCGUAAAGCGCACGCAGGCGGUUUGUUAAGCUAGAUGUGAAAGCCCCGGGCUCAACCUGGGACGGUCAUUUAGAACUGGCAGACUAGAGUCUUGGAGAGGGGAGUGGAAUUCCAGGUGUAGCGGUGAAAUGCGUAGAUAUCUGGAGGAACAUCAGUGGCGAAGGCGACUCCCUGGCCAAAGACUGACGCUCAUGUGCGAAAGUGUGGGUAGCGAACAGGAUUAGAUACCCUGGUAGUCCACACCGUAAACGCUGUCUACUAGCUGUUUGUGGCUUUAAGCCGUGAGUAGCGAAGCUAACGCGAUAAGUAGACCGCCUGG